CAAGUUCUUUCACAUGACGAAGCGCCAGUGCAACGAAAGUCUGGACAUGUACAUCCAGUUCCUCGCAGGAACAACCAAAUUUGAACAGUUCCUGAAGGUUGCAGAGCAAGUUGGAAUCGACCAGAACAACAUUCCAUAUCUUGCUCAGGCCCCCAAAAGUUUACUUGAAGCACUAAAACAGCACUUAGCUUCAUUGGACGAGAAAAAUGAAGUUUUUCCUCCUUGCAGGU